rnacentral:rRNA from 1 species
CCUACGGGGCGCAGCAGUGGGGAAUAUUGCGCAAUGGGCGAAAGCCUGACGCAGCGACGCCGCGUGAAGGAAGAAGGCUUUCGGGUUGUAAACUUCUUUUAAGGGGGAAGAGCAGAAGACGGUACCCCUUGAAUAAGCCACGGCUAACUACGUGCCAGCAGCCGCGGUAAUACGUAGGUGGCAAGCGUUGUCCGGAUUUACUGGGUGUAAAGGGCGUGCAGCCGGAGAGACAAGUCAGAUGUGAAUUCCACGGGCUCAACCCGUGAACUGCAUUUGAUACUGUUUCCCUUGAGUGUCGGAGAGGUAAUCGGAAUUCCUUGUGUAGCGGUGAAAUGCGUAGAUAUAAGGAAGAACACCAGUGGCGAAGGCGGAUUACUGGACGAUAACUGACGGUGAGGCGCGAAAGCGUGGGGAGCAAACAGGAUUAGAUACCCCUGUAGUC